rnacentral:lncRNA from 1 species
CUUAAAGAGUAAAUUCUUAUACAUUUUAUUAUUUUAAAUAAUAAUAUGUUACUACUCCUGAAAAGCAUGAGAUUAUAAUUAUCAAUAUUUCAAAAGAAUAUUGGUAUAUUACUCUUAAAAAAGCAAUAGCAUAAUACAACGUACUCCCGAACUAGUAUAUGUUUCGAAGAAUAUAUCAUUUUGAAUUAAUAUUUAUUGAAAGAAAGUAUAUAGCUCAAGUCAUGCUAAUAUUGACUAGUUAUUAUGUGAUUAUACAAUGUUUAAUCACAUCCUUCAAAAUUAAUUGUAUUUUUACUUGAUUAUGCAGUCAUUCAAAUGUCAAAUAUCACGAAACUUGAGUUUGUUGCACUCAACAUAUCUGGUAAAAAUUAUGUCAUGAGUCCUCGAUGUUAAAAAUUCACCUUGUCUCCAAAGGUUUGGGAGAAAUUAUAAAAGAAAAUCAAGAAUUCUUGUAGGAUCGAAUACCUAACUAUGAAGUAUCCAUAGGUUUGUUGGAAAAAAUUGAUUGGAAGAUUUGACAACUAGAAAACUGUAAUCCGUCCUAAAGCCCAAUAUGAAUAAAUGCAUUUUCGCAUGCAAGAUUUUAAAACUGUUAAUAAGUACAAAUUUAAAAUGUUCAGAAUAUGUAUAAAAUUGACUGUGAUGAAAAAAUCAUUGAUAAAAAUAUGUUAAAAAAAAGUUUCCACCUUUCAUACCUCUAAUGUUCUCCUAUACUAACAGAAUGGUGAGCAUGGUUUCAAAAAGUAAUUAUAACUUAUAUCUUGCAGUUGAACAAAAUAAUGAACUGCUCAUUACGUCCAACUAGUUCUAUACCAUUGCUUAAUGUAAAUGGUAUUGCAUUGCUUGAAGCAAAUGCAAUAUCAAGUCGAGGAUGUGGACGCAGACAUGAGAAAAAUCAUAGACGAAAUAAUCAACAAAACUAUCGGUAACGAUUCAACAAUUUGAAAAUGUAUUAAGCAAAUGAAACUAGUAUAACCAAAAAAUAGCAUUAAAAAUUGCUUUAGAUAUAGAAUGAAAAAGCAUUUGGCACGUACCUCUCGUAUGGCAAAACAUCUUAUAAAUCUCUACCAAAAAUCAAUCAAGAUAAAAGGCAAAGUGGAGACAAAUUUCACUAAUUAUAAUGAUCCAAAUGAUGUGACUCACUAGGAUGUCUUUAAUUUUAUUGUUGAGCCAAAUGAAAAUAUUGAUCAUCUAAUCAGAUAAUAAAUUCUAAAUAAAAAUAAACUAUUAAGAUAAUGAAAAAUAAACUAAUCAAUAUUAUCGAGCACACUACCUUCGAUUAAAUGAUCAAUAUUACCAUUUAAGUCAACAAAACAAUUAGAAACGCCCAAGUGAGUUAUACUAAUUUUGUCUUUACUUUUUCAUUUUCCUUAUUGAUUUUUGGUAAAGAUCCAUAAGAUAUUUUACCGUAGGACAAGUACGUACCUAAUAUCCUUUCAUUUCACAUCUAAAGCAAUUUUUUAUGCUCUUUUUUAGAUAUGCUACUUUCUUUUACCUUAAGCUUUUGAAAUUGUUACCUGGUUGCUAAUAGUUUUCGCCUAUGUUCGUGGACACAUCCAUGUCCUUGUCUUGAUAUUGCAUUUUCUUCAAAUAAUACAAUACCAUUUGUUUCAAACAAUACAAUACCAUUUACUUCAAGUAAUGGUAUAGAACCAAAUUGACAUAAUCCAAAAUUUUUCAUCUACUAUUCAUUAUUUUAUUAAGCUACAAGCAGGCAAAAUAUGAGUUCUCAAUACUUUCUAAAACCACACUCACGAUAUUGCUGUUGUAGGAACACAUUCGAAGCAUGAAAUAUGAAAAAAGUUAUCCAACAAAAUUUUAUUAGUGAAACAAUACAAUACCAUUUACUUCAAGUAAUGGUAUAGAACCAAAUUGACAUAAUCCAAAAUUUUUCAUCUACUAUUCAUUAUUUUAUUAAGCUACAAGCAGGCAAAAUAUGAGUUCUCAGUACUUUCUAAAACCACACUCACGAUAUUGCUGUUGUAGGAAUACAUUCGAAGCAUGAAAUAUGAAAAAAGUUAUCCAACAAAAUUUUAUUAGUGAUUUUUUUUUUUGCACAAAGUCAAUUUUGGACAUUUUCUAAACACUUUAAAAUUGUAGUCACUAACAAUUAAAAUUUUGCAAGUGAAGAUACAUCUAUUCAUAACGGGUUUUUAGAAAGACUACAGUUUUCAGGUGAUCAAAUCUUUUCAAUCAAUUUUUUUCUAGAGAAUCUGUGGAUCCUUCAAAACGACAUAUUCGAUUUUCAAUCCAUCAUGAACAUAGUGGCAAAGGAAGAUAAGUACUUUUACACAAUCCUACAGAAAUUCUUAAUUUUUUUCUUUUAUUAUCUCUCUCAUACCCUUUGAGAUAAAGUAAACCUCAGUAUCUAAGACUUACGACAGAUAAUUUUUACCAGAUUUGUCAAAUGAAACAAACUAAAGUUCUUUAAUGUUUUUCCAUUUGAAAAACUACACAAUUAAGCAAAAGAAAAUACAAUUAAUUUCAAAAAAUAUGAAUAAACAUUAUAUAAUCACAUAAUAAUUAAUUAAGUAAUUAAUAUCAACAUGACAUGAGCUAUAUGUGUUCCUUCAAGAUAACCAUUAAUUCAAAAUGAUAUAUUCUUCGUUUUUAUUAUUGUUUGUUCGAGGGUAAUAUGGCAAUAUUCUUGUAAAAUAUUGAAAAUAAUAAUAUCACACUUUUCAAUACCAAUAACAUUAUUUAGAAAAAUAAAUUGUAUAAGAAUUUAUUCUUUAGGAGUACAACAUAAUUUACGUUAAAUCGUAUUUAAUUA